GUACGGAGGGAUUGGGGAAUUCGCGCCUUCGGUCGCUCCUUCAGGGGGGGCCGUUCCUCAGCGCCCGCCCCGCACGGGUACCGUCCUACGUAUUACCCGCUUUGCGCAUGGACAGAUUCGUGGUUAAACGUUCUGCUGAGGAACCCGAGGGUGAUGGCAAGAGGCCCCGGUUGGAGGAGGCGGCGGGCGGCCUGCCUCAUCCUUCACAGCCCAGUCAGGAGAUCCGCGCCCAGGGCCUGAGCCUCGAGUACCGUCUGCUCUUCGGCCGGGCCGAGGCUGACGAGAUCUUCCAGCAGCUGGAAAAGGAGGUGGAGUACUUCGAAGGUGAACAGACGAAGUUGCAUGUGUUUGGCAAGUGGCAUAACAUCCCCAGAAAGCAGGUAACCUACGGAGACCCUGAGUUAACAUACACUUACUCAGGUGUCACCUUCUCUCCUAAGCCGUGGAUCCCAGUUCUCAAUCACAUCAGAGAUCGCCUUGUUUUGGAAACAGGACAUACUUUUAAUUUUGUUGUUAUUAACAGAUAUAAAGACGGCGAGGACCACAUAGGUGAACAUCGAGAUGAUGAGAAGGAGCUGGUUCCACGCAGCCCUAUUGCAUCAGUGACCUUUGGAGCCUGCAGAGACUUUGUUUUCAGGCACUGUGAUUCCAGAGGGAAGAAUGCAACACGGCACAUUAAGCCCAUCAGACUGCAGCUAGCCCAUGGCAGCCUGCUGAUGAUGAAGUACCCCACUAACGUGUACUGGUACCACAGCCUGCCCAUCCGCAGGAGAGUGCUUGCUCCAAGAAUCAAUCUGACAUUUCGGAAAAUGAUGGUUGUUGACAAAAAAGUGAGAUAGCAAUGAAGCACCUGGUCCAUAGACCCUGAAUACGGAAGUUUUCGUCCUCAAUAUAGCUGUCAGUUUCUCAAUCAAGCUGUGUUUGAUGAUCCAAGGCAUUAAACCAGAAGAUAGCAUGCUUGGGAAUCCAUUCUGACUACCUGAAAGCCAUUCCCAUCCGUGCUCCAUCCUACUGAAAUGAGGAAAGUGCGUUCAAAGUGUCCACCAGGUCUUAAGGAAUCAAGCAAUGGCCUCAACUCCAAACUCUGGUGCUGUACCCUUGAGUGAACGCGCUCAUAGAACAGCAGGUAAGCACUAGAGGAAAGGACCUCCUGCAAACUAGCUUUGCGAACAGUGUCAUCUGAAAUCCAUAACCACUGAUUGCUGACAGAGAGCGGGCUCUUGGAAGAAGGCGGAGAGCGGCGGUAAGUCACAAAGUGUCCAGAAUGCAUGUCUCCAUGGUGCACAACCACCGCCAUCAGCCGGUACAGGUACACGGGGGGACUGAGAGAGAGAGGAGAAAAAGGGUCAGCAGACCUGUGUGUCACACGUGGACCUAAAGCAGCUCCAGUUGCUUUGUCCUGACCUGCAAUCUCUUUCCGGAGCAAGUAAUUGUCUCUAAGAGACGUGCUGCUUUGCAGUUACUUCUUGUUAUUCUAAGUCUUUUUGUUAUUUUAAGUGCUGCCUGAUUCUACUGAAGAAAGCAAACCAUUCAUUUUAAAGGUUUAAUGCACCAGACAGCUACCACAUCUUGCCCAGUGUAACUGCCUGAAUUGUGUACAAAUGUUUCCCAUCAAACCAGCGUUUAGUUCUUGCAGCACUGCUCCUGGACAGAAAAGUUAUUCUAGAAAAAUGUGAUUCUUAAAAGUGGUCAAAUUAUGGUGGGUAAUCCAUAGAUAACUACAGGUAUACUUUAAGGACUUGCUCUACAACUGUCUACAUAACAAAUGUUUGGCACAGAGUGUUUCUUCACUUCUCAUUUCCUAAAGUGAUUGUAGGAAAUGUGCUCCCUAUGGGAUAAUAACCAACAGUUCUGUAACGGAACGUUGGCCGCGGGACUGAAAAGAAGGGAACUUUCUCAAAAACAAAUCAGCAUCAUAAGCAUCAAGACUGGAUUUAUUAAGUAGAAUCAUGGCAGCUGCAAUUGAGAUUGUUAAAUAGAACUCUUACGGAUUUUUUUUCCAAUAUUGUAAGAAUUUCUUGCAGGAGUUUAAAGAAACCAAACAACUCUCGUGGCAAUAGUUACAAGUCAAAGAAGGGGUAGUAGGAUAAACAGCAUGAAUGAGAAUAUGGCAAUCCAGAAGGAUGACUGCUGCAUACUGAACCAAAAAAAGGAGAUUCCAAGUUCUCCCUGUAAUAAGCUAAACUCCCUUUCUUAGUAGGAGAGAAAUGGAGCCAAAGACAAUUAGCAAGGAAAAGAGAAAACAGUUUCCUGCACAGGAACUACGAUAGAUGUUAAGUUCUACGACUACACAGCCUUUUGAUAAAGACAGUAAAGGAAAACAUAAUUCAGAUGGACAGAAAUAUAGACAGGGUACACAUCUCACCUACCUGCAUUCAGGGAAUGCAGUGAGUGGAAAAGUUCCCGAGGACAUUAAGAGUGAAGAAGAGCAGGCCCCAUUCAUAAGGAGAGAUUUGGUACCACGUGUCUGUUCUGCAUCUGCAAAACAAAAUUGGUAAUUUAACUUAAAUGCUACCACAAGCAUUGCUAACUGCUUCUGUUUCUACAGCGUCUGUCAUCACAGAAUGUAAAGGUAGUUUGCUUAUUUUAAUUCAUUACAUAUCACAGUCCCUUGAUAUCUAAAGACAAGAGGUAAAUACAGGUAAAUACCUGAAGGUUUUACUGAUAUCCCAUCCCUUGUUCCAGGCUUUGUCUCUUCGGAGCUUUUCUGAUUCAGAUCGUUCUGAGUUGAUUUAUGAACAGGAAUGUGGUAUUUGUAGAUGUCCAUGAUUAGGAACUCAUUGAACUGUACGUGUUCGUGACGUUUCAGAGGAGUCCCUUGGUUGGACCAGCUCAGUCUUUGCAGAUGGAUACACAAACACUGAGGGAGCUUCAAAGUUCCAUACAAAAGAGAAGUCAAAAUACAUUUUAAGUGAAGAGAAACAGCUGCUAAAAACAUUCUAAUGGAACUGAAUGAGUCCCUUCCGCCUGAAUCUGAAAUCAAAGGGAAAACAGACGUUUGAUUACUUCCUGUAUAAAAUACAAACAAUAAUCCUGCUGCAGGUUGGCAUGCUGCAUACCAAGCUAUCCUUGGGACCUGAAUUUCUUCUACAGUUUUCCUCUCUCAAGAGCUGUUGGCCUAUUCCAAUGGAUCCAUGUUUUAACACAAAAUUGAGCAGAAAUAGCUCUUAGAAAACAAACCUAGUUUACAUGCAGCCAUUUCUGUUAGGUUUCAAACAAUCCAUUUUGGCUCUCUAUCAUCAAAGUACAGGCAAAUAUAAUGUUUCAAAAUGGGACUUCUUUUUUUUCUUUUUUUGUUCUUCUAAAUAUCUAAAUACCAAAUAAAGCAUUUGUAAAUUUUUAUUACGUUAACAAUAAAUAAAGCUUCAAAAUA